CCUACGGGUGGCAGCAGUGGGGAAUAUUGCACAAUGGGGGAAACCCUGAUGCAGCGACGCCGCGUGAGUGAAGAAGGAAUUCGUUAUGUAAAGCUCUAUUAGCAGGGAAGAAUAUGAAGGUAACUUAGUAAGAAGCCCCCGCUAACUACGUGCCAGAAGCCGCGGUAAUAAGUAGGGGGGCAGCGGUAUCCGGAUUUACUGGGUGGAAAGGGAGCGUAGGCGGCGGUGCAAGUCUGGAGUGAAAGGCGGGGGCUGAACCUCGGGACUGCCCUUGAAACUGUACGUCUGGAGUGCAGGAGAGGUAAGUGGAAUUCCUAGUGUAGCGGUGAAAUGCGUAGAUAUUAGGAGGAACACCAGUGGCGAAGGCGGCUUACUGGACUGUAACUGACGUUGAGGCUCGAAAGCGUGGGGAGCAAACAGGAUUAGAUACCCUAGUAGUC
rnacentral:rRNA from 1 species